rnacentral:misc_RNA from 1 species
UUCAUGGCAGCCUUGAUGUACUCCAUCCGUUCACAUUUACGUAGCACUUUAUACUAUUCUCCAAAAUCAUUUUUCAACCGUUAAUACUAAACAUCAAUUAAUAAGGAUGGUGUGGUAAAAUACAUUAGUUACUUAAAUGGGUAUGUCAAGUCAAACAGUGACAAGUAAAAAUCAAUAGAAAAAUUAGCUUCUUUUUCAAACCUCAAGUCAACCACGAACUCGUAAAGCGAUUCCGGUUAACCUCUCAUUCAAUAUUGGUACCACUUACCAAACAGCCUUGGCAGUUCCGAUAUUGGUGGGAAUAAUGUUGAAUGAAGCAUCUCUUCUGACUAUCCAAUCGUCGACUGAUGGUCCAUUGACAGUCCUCUGAGCGGCUGUGAUGGAGUUCCCUGUGGUCCUGAUACCCUCAACAAACAGAUGAACAUCCUUG